rnacentral:rRNA from 1 species
AUGAACGCUAGCGGCAGGCUUAACACAUGCAAGUCGAGGGGUAACAGGAGUGCUUGCACUCGCUGACGACCGGCGCACGGGUGCGUAACGCGUAUAGAACCUACCUUUUACUGAGGGAUAGCCUUUAGAAAUGAAGAUUAAUACCUCAUGGUAUUGUAAACUGGCAUCGGUUUAUAAUUAAAGAUUUAUUGGUAAAAGAUGGCUAUGCGUCUUAUUAGCUAGAUGGUAAGGUAACGGCUUACCAUGGCAACGAUAAGUAGGGGCCCUGAGAGGGGGAUCCCCACACUGGUACUGAGACACGGACCAGACUCCUACGGGAGGCAGCAGUGAGGAAUAUUGG